AUAUUACUCCCUCCGUCCGGAAAUACUUGUCGAAAAAUGCAUAAAAAUGAAUGUAUCUAGAACUAAAAUACAUCUAGAGACAUCCAUUCCUCCGACGAGUAUUUUCGGAUAGAGGGAGUAUUUU
rnacentral:pre_miRNA from 1 species